GUGGGGAAUUUUGGACAAUGGGGGCAACCCUGAUCCAGCAAUGCCGCGUGAGUGAAGAAGGCCUUCGGGUUGUAAAGCUCUUUUGUCCGGGAAGAAAUCCCAUCCCUGAAUACGGGGUGGGGAUGACGGUACUGGAAGAAUAAGCACCGGCUAACUACGUGCCAGCAGCCGCGGUAAUACGUAGGGUGCGAGCGUUAAUCGGAAUUACUGGGCGUAAAGCGUGCGCAGGCGGUUGUGCAAGACCGAUGUGAAAUCCCCGGGCUCAACCUGGGAACUGCAUUGGUGACUGCACGGCUAGAGUGUGUCAGAGGGGGGUAGAAUUCCACGUGUAGCAGUGAAAUGCGUAGAGAUGUGGAGGAAUACCGAUGGCGAAGGCAGCCCCCUGGGAUAACACUGACGCUCAUGCACGAAAGCGUGGGGAGCAAACAGGAUUAGAUACCCCAGUAGUCC
rnacentral:rRNA from 1 species